AGAAAAGAGAAAAAAGAAAAGAAAAAAGAAAGAAAGAAUGGAAAAAGGGAAAAUGGUUUCGUCUCUUGUUCUUCUCUCUUCUUGUUUUCUUCUCUUUUUUUCGUUUGGGGAGGUUGAUGGUGUGGUGGAUUCUCUUUUUGAAAAACAAUGGCAUUUGAAUGCAAAAGAGAAAUUUGGUCUUCAUUUUCAGUCAACAAAAGUGUGGAAAGGUAUUGAUGGGCGUGGAGUGAAUAUUUCCAUUGUCACUGACAAUGCUGAUCUUUCCAAUCCUGAUAUAAAAGAUAAUUUGGAUGAAGAACUUUCAUUCAUCAAUACCGUUGAACCCCC
rnacentral:ribozyme from 13 species